UCAACAGUUUGUAUAAGCUUUAGGAGCUAUAGUUGUGUAAAUUUUGUUGGUUAUAUUUUGAUUAAGGUGUCUUUAGGUUUACUCGUGAAAUUGGUAAAUUUUGAGGUACACUUCAUGUAUGUGUUUGACUAGCUGUGUUUGACUAGCCUAGGAUCCGAUGUGUUUUGUGGCAUGUACAAUAGUUUAUAUACUAGAUUGGCAAGUUCAUCACGUGAAAGUUUUAAGCAGAGUCGACAGAUACAGGUACAGAAUAACGUUGUUCGUCGGCUUCACGCCAUCUUUCGGUCUAAGGUAGCAGGUAGUCCUGGAGGGGGUAAUCAGAUUUAAUAGUGUUAAUUAAACUCUUGUAUGUGCAUUUUUAUACAUGGUUUCUAAACUUUUAAA